rnacentral:rRNA from 1 species
UACGGGGGGGGCAAGCGUUGUUCGGAAUUAUUGGGCGUAAAGAGCUCGUAGGCGGCUCGUUGCGUCGGCUGUGAAAACCCACAACUCAACUGUGGGCCUGCAGCCGAUACGGGCGAGCUAGAGUUCGGUAGGGGAGACUGGAAUUCCUGGUGUAGCGGUGAAAUGCGCAGAUAUCAGGAGGAACACCAAUUGCGAAGGCAGCUCGCUGGGACGUAACUGACGCUGAGACGCGAAAGCGUGGGGAGCAAACAGG